CAGAGCUUAACUCUGGAACUGCCAUCAAAACUUUUUAGCUAGAGUAUGAUAGAGGAAAGCAGAAUUUCUAGUGUAGAGGUGAAAUUCGUAGAUAUUAGAAAGAAUACCAAUUGCGAAGGCAGCUUUCUGGAUCAUUACUGACGCUGAGGAACGAAAGCAUGGGUAGCGAAGAGGAUUAGAUACCCUCGUAGUCCAUGCCGUAAACGAUGUGUGUUAGACGUUGGAAAUUUAUUUUCAGUGUCGCAGCGAAAGCAUUAAACACACCGCCUGGGGAGUACGACCGCAAGGUUAAAACUCAAAUGAAUUGACGGGGACCCGCACAAGUAGUGGAGCAUGUGGUUUAAUUCGAAGAUACGCGCAGAACCUUACCAACACUUGACAUGUUCGUCGCGACUCUAAGAGAUUAGAGUUUUCGGUUCGGCCGGACGAAACACAGGUGCUGCAUGGCUGUCGUCAGCUCGUGUCGUGAGAUGUUGGGUUAAGUCCCGCAACGAGCGCAACCCUCACUUUUAGUUGCCAUCAUUUAGUUGGGCACUCUGAAAGAACUGCCAGUGAUAAGCUGGAGGAAGGUGGGGAUGACGUCAAGUCCUCAUGGCCCUUACGUGUUGGGCUACACACGUGCUACAAUGGCAUUUACAACAGGAAGCAAGAUGGCGACAUCAAGCAAAUCCUAAAAAGAUGCCUCAGUUCGGAUUGUACUCUGCAACUCGAGUACAUGAAGCUGGAAUUACUAGUAAUCGCGGAUCAGCGCGCCGCGGUGAAUACGUUCCCGGGUCUUGUACACACCGCCCGUCACACCAUGGGAGUUGGUUCUACCUUAAGGCAAGGUUUAAAACCCUUGACUACGGUAUAGUCAGCGACUGGGGUGAAGUCGUAACAAGGUAGCCGUA
rnacentral:rRNA from 1 species